AUUGAACGCUGGCGGCAUGCCUUACACAUGCAAGUCGAACGGCAGCACGGGAGCAAUCCUGGUGGCGAGUGGCGAACGGGUGAGUAAAGUAUCGGAACGUGCCCAGUCGUGGGGGAUAACGUAGCGAAAGUUACGCUAAUACCGCAUACGAUCUAUGGAUGAAAGCGGGGGAUCGCAAGACCUCGCGCGAUUGGAGCGGCCGAUAGCAGAUUAGGUAGUUGGUGGGGUAAAGGCUCACCAAGCCGACGAGCUGUAGCUGGUCUGAGAGGACGACCAGCCACACUGGGACUGAGACACGGCCCAGACUCCUACGGGAGGCAGCAGUGGGGAAUUUUGGACAAUGGGCGAAAGCCUGAUCCAGCCAUGCCGCGUGCAGGAUGAAGGCCUUCGGGUUGUAAACUGCUUUUGUACGGAACGAAAAGGUUUGGCCUAAUAAGCUGAGCUCAUGACGGUACCGUAAGAAUAAGCACCGGCUAACUACGUGCCAGCAGCCGCCGUAA
rnacentral:rRNA from 1 species